CAGAAUCUAGUUUAUAACAAAAUAAUUAUUUUGGGGAUAAUAGAUAUAGAAAAAAUUUUAUGUUUCUGA
rnacentral:tRNA from 1 species